rnacentral:tRNA from 1 species
GCAUUGGUGGUUCACUGAUAGAAUUCUCACCUUCCAUGCAAAAGACCAAGGUUCGAUUCCUGGCCAAUGCA